GAGUCGCCAUGGAAACGGGGCGACAACACCAACUGACAAACUGUAAAUCUCCAUCUCUCGCUGCGGUUUUCACUGCUUUCAGAUUCUUCUAUGCUGAUGGCCGUGCAGCAGAGUUGGAGCGGACCUCCUGUCUGACAACAUCUCUAAGGCGCUAUGAACCAUAUGACUAUCUCACCCAUUCAGGACUGUGAAAGCGGGAACUCUUUGACCCACCAGUGGCAGUUUCCACGGGAUGAAAAAGGGCAUAGUAGUGGAUGAUGGGGGUACUGACAUUAACCUGCUGUAUUCACUGUACACACUGGGGAAGGGCAUUUUUGUCAGUUUUUCAUUUCAAGUACUGGUGGUUUUGAUUUUGUCUGGAUGGCUUGCUGUCCUAACACUAACUAGUCAGAGCUCAGGUACCACCCAAAAUGCUGCCAUAACCAAUCAGAAAAAGAGAAAUAUAUAAAGUCAAGUGAUCAUCGAGUACUCAGACUUGACAGCGAUAACUGAUUAUGAAAACGAUCAUUGCAGUGACUUUAAAAAAUGAUCAAUCAUUGUUGUUAAGUCUGAGUACUCUAGUACUUGUGCACAUCCCUAUUAAACACAUAUACACAGUACUGAGGUAUGAUGUAUACUGUAAAUGCAAUAAACAUUUUAAUCAUCAUCAUCUUGUCAAGUCUUGUUACUUCUGGAUUUUCUUUUUUUUU